rnacentral:lncRNA from 1 species
UGCAGUGAAGUUACCAGUAUAGCACCAAAAAUCUGUAUAAGGCUUUUCCAUUUGUUUUUGUUUGUUCUAAGACCAUGCUAUGGGAAAGCACUUGCCACAAUCCUUUAAUUUUGAGUCUUUAUUGUUUGCCUCUAGGUGGAACGGAUUAUCUUUUGUGUCUUCCUAGAAGUUGACUUCAAAAUCUACAAAAAGAAAAUGAGUGAGUUUUUCCCUAUGGAUGAUAAUAAUGAAGAAGAAGAUGCUGACAUGAAAGAAGAAUCAGAAGGGCUAGAGCCAAAAGGUCUCUCUCCACCCCAUAAGAAGAGCAAAGCAAAGAAGCCAGAAUGUUCAAAAGACUCUAGUGAAGAUGAGAAUGGUCCGGAGGAAAAGCAAAGUGCAGAAGAAAUUGAAGGGCAGAGCCAAGAAGCAGAUGGUGUCAACACCGCCACUGUUCCCAGUCCUGGUACAGAAGAAACAGUUGAAGUUUGUAAAGAUAAAGAAUCUGAAAAGGAUGACAAUAUUAUAAAAGACAUAACAGAUCAUUCUGUUGUUGACCAAGACCGCCCCAAUGGGGAAGAGAAUGAUUCAACAAAGAAUGAAAUCAAAAUCAAGACAGAAUCUCAGAGCUCAUAUAUGGAAACAGAAGAGCCUUCAUCAAACCAAGAAGAUGCCACAAUUGUGGAGCAACCAGAAGUGAUUCCACUGACAGAUGACCAAGACGAAAAAGAAGGUGCAAACGCUCAAGGGGAGGACACACCUACAGCUUCUGUGAAAAGCCAGAGCUCUAGUGACACUGAACCUGCUACAGGUCCUGAUGUUGAAAUGAAUAGUCAGGUUGACAGUGUAAAUGACCCAACAGAGAGUCAGCAAGAAGAUCACCAAUUAAGAAGCCCCUGUGGGGCACAAGGUGAAGCAAAGGAACACAGAAAUGAAACUCAAUGA